AACACGGGCACAAGGUUAACUCAUUGUACCAAAUGGAGCUGAACACCAGAAGCAAGCAAUCUAGCAACGGUAAGGGAAAGGCCAAAGCCAUGGCCAAGAUCGUGGAAGAGGAGGAGGAGGAAGCUGAAGACUUCUUCAGCUCAAGCGAUUGCGGGUGCUUCCUCUGCGCCAUCAAGCAGCCGGACGCCCGGCUCCGUCGUGCCAGCCUUGCCGAUUUCUUUAGGGAGCUGCCAUACUGCGACGACGACGGCAGUAACGGCCAGUCAUGUGCCGCGGCAGUCGGCGCCGUGUGGCGCGCGGCAAUGGCGGCGCCCGACGACCCGGAGCUCCCUUCGCUCGGCGCGAUCCGGUGCAUGUCCCUCCUCCUCGCCCGCGCGCUCGCCGACGCGGCGUGGUGCCGCCGCGGCGGCAACGUGUACGUGCCGUACUAUGCCGCCCACGUCAUCGGCUCGUACACCAUUCGCUCCUCCGCGCACGCCGAGCUGGCCGUCGCGGCGGGGGCCGUGCGUCCCCUGACGGCCCUCCUCGGCGGCGCCAUGACGUGGGUCGAGCAGCGCGCGGCGGCGCGAGCCCUGGGCCACCUCGCCAGCUACGACGCCACGUUCCCGGCCGUUGCGCGGCAGGCCGUCGAGGCGGUGCCGCUCGCCGUGCGCGCCGCGUCCACCUGCAUCGGCGACGUCCACGCGAGCUUCGUCAAGCUGGCACCGAGCCGGCGGCCAAAGUACCAUCGCGACCUCAUGGCGUGCGGGCUCGCCGGCGGCGGCGCCGACGCCGAGGACAGGAAGGCGGAGGAGUGGGCGAGCCAGCUCCAGUGCUGGUCGCUCUACUUCCUGAGCUGCCUCGCCUCCAGGGACCUGUCAUCUCAUGCCAUGAUAUGCCAGGACGCCGUGUUCCUGCGCGAGCUCUCCCGGAUGUGGGGCGGCCUGGCGAACGGCGACUCUCCGGCCGGCGUCGGGCUGCUGCGCCUUCUCUGCAGGAGCCCAGUCGGCCGCGCCGCCAUCGCCGCGUGCCGCGACGCGCUCUCCAGUCUCUGUGACCUCGCGCGCUCGUCCGACGACUGGCAGUACAUGGCCGUAGAUUGCUUGCUCCUCCUCCUCGACGACCGCGACACAUGGAACGCCGUUGCUGACGCCACGGCGCCGUGCCUCGUUGACUUGGUCGAUCUCCGGCACCUCGGUCCAAGGCGACGGCUAGGCGAUGCCAUUGCAACUGCGCUGCUCCUUGAUGACAGCCGUGAAGUAGGUAUGGAAGCCAAAAAAGCGAUCGCAAGGUUGAGGGAGGUGAAGGUAGAUAGGAAGGAGACAGAGGAAGCAAUGCCUAGGGAUGAGCUGCUGAAGAGAGAGAUCUUAGCCAAAGAGAAGAAGAGACAAGGAAACGACAGCUUCUUGCAAGGCGACGUGGACAAGGCCAUUGAUCUGUACACGGAAGCUUUGGAGCUGUGUCCCCUGAGCAGGAGGAGGGAGAGGCUGGUGCUGCACAGCAACCUCGCGCAGUGCCGGCUCGCGCGGCGAGAUGCCGACGCGGCGGUGAGCGACGCGACGCGCGCGCUGGCGCUGGCGCGGCCGGCGAACGCGCACGCCAGGAGCCUUUGGCGCCGCGCGCAGGCGUACGACAUGAAGGGCAUGGCCAGGGAGAGCCUCCUGGACUGCCUGGCCUUCGCCGGCGCGUGGCUCGAUCGCCGGCGCAAGCACACGCGGAGGGCGGCGCGCGGCGCGAACCCCAAGCUGCCGUACUGCGUCGCGCGGAUGAUCAGCAAGCAGAUGAGCGUGACGGGGCUGUUCGCCGGCGUGGCGAUGAGCGGCAACAAGGUAGGGGGUGAUGAUUACAUGCCACGGUGCAGCGAGAAUGACGACGGGGACGAUGAGGACGACGGAGAUGAUCGUCGCGAUGAUGACGAUGAAAGCGAGGAGGAAUUUGCUGCUGGCAACGCUGCUGGGGUGAAGAUUUGCACGUCAGGAAGGGAGUUGCCAAUCGUCAUGGGAGAUGCUUGGAGGAGAUUAGCCCGGAUGACAUAAGGGUGCAAACGUACCGUUUGUUAUCUCAUGAUGAUCGACGUCGUAAGCUAUAGCUAGCUCACUGAUAAGUGCAACGAAAUUAGGGCUUCACCGCGACUUGUCAGGCUGGAAGACUAAGUGAUGCUGCGCGUGGAGGAACCUGGCUGGGAACACAUCUGAUGCCCCGGUGGAUUUGGUGGUUCGUAGAUCGAUUUCUUACUUCCCUGUCAGUCAGUUGAGGUCUUAGCUGAGGUCUAUUUUCUGCAACAGUUUGUGCUGCGUCUUCUGUAACCCCAGUGGGCAGGUCCGAAAACCUGAGAAAUGUGUCUUUUUAAUGAAGUACUGUAACUUCC